UUCUGGGCCGGAGCGAGGUGGUCGACAGAACAGGGCACUCAAAUUUGAGGGGCUCCAAAAUCUAGAUAUAUGUAAUUAAGUUUGGUAUAAUAUCGUGAAAUUGCAGUUGGAGUAGUGUAUACAAGAUCUUGGGUUCGAGCCAUGCAUGAUACAAUUUUUUAAUUUUUUUGGGAGCUGGACAGCUGGCAUUGAAUGUACCAUUCCUCUAGAAACCUCCAAAUACAUUGAAUGUACCCUCCCUCUAGAAACCUCCACCCAAACCAGCAAACCCAUUCUAAUUCCCAAAAUUUUUUCCCAAAAAUUCAGAUAUCUUUCUUCCCAAAAUUUUUUCAAUCUACCAUUCUAAUUCCCAAAAAAAAAACUCUAUAUCUUCCAAAACUCUAUAAUUUCUUAUUUACUUUCUUUUAUUAUCUUCAUUUUCUUCAAUUAUUCAAUUAAUUUUCAAAUUUUUUCAUCUCCCAAAAUUAUUUUUCCCAUAUUAAUUCAUAAUUUCAACGGUUAAAUCUUCAAUUUUAAGAUGAAAUUAAUUAUUAAACCGUUGUUAAUCUCCCAAAUUUUCCUAUAUAUGCAUUUUAUUCACUCUUUCAAUUUUACAAAUAAAAAAGAAAUCUUUAAGAUAAUCUUAAUUCCAAAAUUCUUUGCAAGUAUUGUGAGUAUAGGCUAUAGCUAGUAAUCGGAAAAAAUUUCAUCACGAACCUCUUCGGAUUCAACACCGGAUACGACUUUUUGUUAAAUUUUAAUAUUUGGAAGUUGAACAAUCGACGCUUUUGUCAUUGGUGAAGACUUUUGAUUCGACUCUUGCUGUGUACGAAGGCUUCCGCAAUUUAAAACAGAUUACAGAGAUUGAUGAUGGAAUAUUGGAUUAUACAUAGCAAUUAGCGAUCUUGGAUCUGUCGAAUUCAAUCGUUGGCUUAUUAUAAGCUAUUUCUGGUGAUAUUUUUCCUCUCUAUCAAAUAUUUUGUGCAAUUGUAUUUAAUAUGUUUCGAAAGUAUCCAUCUGGACAUGAAAAACGGAAUAAAAAAAAAGAAGGAAGAUCAAUUCAUUCAAUCACAAAAAGGUGCUUUAGAUAAGGUUUUUUUUAAAGUGCCACAAUCAAGUGAAAAUCUUAUUGACUCAGAGUUGUUAGAUGAAAAUAAUGUUGGUGGUGAUAAUGUUAAUGUUGAUAAUGAUAAUGUAGAUGCGAAUAAUGCCAAUGUUAAUGUUGAUGAUAAUAAUAUUAAUGUUGAGCGAGAAGAUGUGAAUCUGAAUAAUGUAGAUGAUUUUGAACAAAAUGUGGAAGAAAAUUCAGACCAUAAUAUUCACAAUGUUGAAGAAAAUGAUUUUGUUUCUCAUGAUAUAUAUGUUCCAUCCAAGGAUAUGGGGAGCUCUUGAUCAAAAAUCGAUUGAUAUUUUGGCUAUCAAUGGCCCUAAAAGAGACUUAACCAUAGUGAAAGGCCCUAAAGACAAAGUAUCUAGGAGAUUUACUUCAAAUUUGUAUGUUAGAUAUUUGCCUAAUGGUGAAACAUAUGAUAGAGAUUGGCUUGUUUAUUUUAAGAAAUUGACAAAGUAUUUUGUUUUUGCUGUAAAAUCUUCCAAAAGGGUCAUGGAAAAGGCAAUUUGGUUAAUGAAGGAUAUAAUGAUUGGUCACAUAUUAGUCAUAGACUUAAAGAACAUGAAACAAGUGUUGAUCACGUUUUUAACAUGGCUGCUUGGUGUGAACUAAGAAAUAGAUUGAAAAAUCAUGAAACAAUAGACAAAGUUGCCCAAGACCAAUUUCAAAAAGAAAAAGAGUAUUGGAAAAGUGUCAUUAUUAAUUAGAAUAAUUGCUAUUGUGAAGUUUCUUGGUAAAAAUAACCUUGCAUUUCGUGGGAAACACGAAAGGUUAUAUCAAAGUAGCAAUGGAAAUUUUUUAGGUCUGAUUGAAAUGUUGGCUGAGUUUGAUCCUGUGAUUAUUGAGCAUGUUCAUCAUAUUGAGAAUGGAAUUAUUCAUCAUCAUUAUCUUAGCCAUGAUAUUCAGAAUGAAUAGGUAUUCUUACUUGCUUCUAAAAUCAAUGAUGCUAUUAUGAAAAAAAUAAAAGAAGUUGAUGUUGGAUUAUACACCUGAUGCUAGUCAUCAAGAACAAAUGACAUUAAUUUUAAGGUGUGUUGAUAAAUGUUCAAAUUCUUAUAAAGUUAAAGAAUUUUUCAUUGAGUUAUUACAAGUUAAUGAUACUACUGGUCU